AAACGUCAGAUUUUUGAAGCAAAAACAUGCUGGAAAUCCAAAACACGGGAAACGCCACUUCUUCAAUUUCCCCCAACCUAAAUACCGAGGCAAAAUGAAAUCUUGGCCCCUGCCUCCUCUUUCUUCUUCCUCUUCCUCUUCUUCAAUCUCUCCUCGAAUUAUUUUUUCUCUGAUUCCUCAAAAUUGUAUAUCAUCUUCCUCUACCAUCCCAGAAAUUAUAGAUGUACCCAGUCCCAAUCCUUCUAGUAUUGACACGAAUCGAACCUCGGAGUCCAAAAAUUCAAGCAAGAUCAAAACUUCUGACGGAAAGAGAAUCCGUAGGCAAGAUCAAAAACUUCUGACCAAGCGAACCUCGGAGUCCCAAUCGCCGUCAUCGCCUCCUGUGUGAAAGAGAAUCCGUUGUUCUUCAUCUUCCUCUCCAGGCCGAACCCGCUUUCCUCCGAGGUCUGCCGCUUCCAGUUUCUUCAUCUCCCAUUCAUCUUCACCAUUCGAUUAUCUCGUUGCUCUCUUUCCUGAUAUGGAAAACUUCACAAUCAUUUCAAGGAAGAUACUUUCAUAUAUGGCAAUUCUUGAAGAUAACCAGGAGCAUGGGUGGAUAGAAAAAGUGAAAUUUGCUGGAGAUAGGUCUCAUUAUCAGAUGAAUGAGAAUGAAUUCAAAUAACUAGGAAUUGGCAAACACUUACGUAUUAUCACAAGUCUGAUUAUGUUGAUCAUUGGAUUUAGACUUUAUUCAAUUUUUCUCCUUCUUUUCAGUAUGCAUGAUAGUUUUUGUGAAUUAUUCAUUUGUUGCUAAAAGCUCUUAUCAGAUACACUUGGGAACAUUAUUUCGAACCAAAGUUUACAGAGUUUCUUUAUUCUUCUUGAUCCUAAUUGCUCUUUAAGUAGGUUCCUUUUUUCUGUUUUCAUGGGGAUUGCAUAUUCCAAAUGUGGGCUUUAAUUUUAAUCCCAUACUAUUUCCUUCUACGGGUGAAGUUUGUGAUAGUUAGAUUAUGUGCCUGUCUUCAUAUUCCUCAUAAAUCCCUAAAAUUACUGAACUGAGAAGAUUUACAUUCCUUUGAUCUGUAUUUUAACAUCUCUCUUCAUUAAUGUGUUGACAUAUGACCAAACUAUAGAUAAGGGAAGCAGAAGCAACAUCUUCGAAUCAGCAGAAGAAGAUUGAAGAAGUUGAAGCUCAACUCCAGGAACCAGAGGAUAUUGUCAAAGAUCUCAGAGAAGAGUUGAGAGAGGUACAGGGUGAGCUGGAGCGGGUGAAAAACAAAAACAUGCUGCUAGUAGAUGAACCCGAUUAUAUUCUCUAACAAUUUUAAUUUUUUCUUUAACAUUAUCAAUUACAUUACUUUACAAAUGUAUUAUUUGCCUCGAAAGGACAAUAGACUUUUGAAGUAAUUUGUGUGCCUAAUGUUUCAAUCAAGACAAGUUUUACAUUUCACGAA